AUGAACCUCGGUGCGGCAAGUGCCAUUUCAGAUGGAGAUGAGAUUCAACAGAAGGAGUCCUCGCUGUCGAAGGAAGAAGGACAGAGUGUUUCUCUGGAAUGUACCUUCAGCACAACCAGCACUAGCUACUGGAUCCACUGGUACCGCCAGUAUCCAGGAACACCUCCACAGUUCAUUCUGUUCAGUGGGUCCGAUAGCUACAGUGCGGAGUUUGCAGAAGAAAGAUUCUCCUCAAGUGCUGACAAGUCAUCUGAUUACAGUGCUGGAAAUUCAAUAACAUCACUCAGUGACGUAGUUCAUGUUUUGGAGGGAAACAAUGUUACACUUUCUUGCAGCUACAGUGGUACUGUAAAUAACCUACAGUGGUAUCGACAGUACUCCAGAUCAAAACCAGAAAAUCUCCUGAUCAUUUACCCAAGUGACAAGGAAAAGAAAUCUACACAUCCUCGUCUGUCAGUUAUACUAGAUAAAGGAAACAACCAUGUCGAUCUCAAGUUCUCCUCUACAGCACUGACAGACUCUGCGAUGUACUACUGUGCCUUG